UACGGGGGGAGCGAGUGUUAUUCACAAUGACUGGGCGUAAAGGGUAAGUAGGUGGUCAUUAAAGUUAAAAAUGAAAGAUUAGGAGGUUAUUCUAAUAAUUUUAUAUACUUAAAGACUAGGGUUCAUUGGAAGUUAGCGGUACUCUUAAAGUAGGGGUAAAAUCCUGUGAGAUUAAUGAGGACCACCAAUAAGCGAAGGCGGCUAACUAGAAUGGAACUGACACUGAGGUACUAAAGCGUGGGUAAUGAACAGG
rnacentral:rRNA from 1 species